UACUUGUAAUAUUAUAUUAUGAACUAUAUGCUGCCAAUAAUUAAUUUAUAAAAAUAAUGUAUUAUCACAUAAUAUAUUAUAUUGCAAAUAUCACAAAAAUUUGUAGUAUUUGUUGAUAUUUGUGUUGAAAAAACUUUGACUAACAAAAUAAAGAAUAAGUAAAAAAUUACAAUCUUUUAGGUGUGUGAUCCAGACUUAAAAAUUUUAAACAUCGAUGCUAGAUGGGGAGGUGCAACACAUGAUGUGGAGAAACUCAAAUGUAAAACUCUUUUGCAACAGAUCGUUUAAAAUAGAGAUCAAAGCAUUUUCCAUUUCUAUUCUGGCAAAGAUUACUUUCACUUCUUAGUUAUCUUUGCUGGAAGUCUUGGUAUGAAACAAUGUUAAGACAAUACUGUGUGCUUUUUCAGUCCUAUGAAAGAAAAUGUUUUGGAUGUAACAGAGAAAUACUACAACUUUGUUAUGAAGAUUUGUCUUUAUGUUAUUUUUAUAAUGUUCAUGGAUUAUAUUUGUUUUUAUGUUUUCUUCAGUUUAAAUAAAGUUUAUGUUUUACCCAU
rnacentral:lncRNA from 1 species